rnacentral:rRNA from 1 species
UACGGAGGGAGCUAGCGUUGUUCGGAAUUACUGGGCGUAAAGCGCGCGUAGGCGGCUUUGUAAGUUAGAGGUGAAAGCCCGGGGCUCAACCCCGGAACUGCCUUUAAGACUGCAUCGCUUGAAUCCGGGAGAGGUGAGUGGAAUUCCGAGUGUGAGAGGUGAAAUUCGUAGAUAUUCGGAAGAACACCAGUGGCGAAGGCGGCUCACUGGACCGGUAUUGACGCUGAGGUGCGAAAGCGUGGGGAGCAAACAGG